AUCUUGGUAGUCUACUUAAGACUAUAAACUGUAAAUUUAUAAACGGAAUUUCCCCAUGAGA
rnacentral:tRNA from 1 species